CUUCACCGAACCCAGCCACAACGGCGUCUCGCGGCCCUGCCCAUAGGUAGCCAGCAACGCCUGCGCCUC
rnacentral:antisense_RNA from 1 species